rnacentral:misc_RNA from 1 species
AAGUCGUAACAAGGUUUCCGUAGGUGAACCUGCGGAAGGAUCAUUAACAAAAUCUUUUUUCUAAAAUGAUCCAUAAAGGUGUGUGUGGUUUGCUUUUUCGUAACAGAUGAAGUAUUCCCACCACAUUUUUAUGGUAUCAAACCCCAUUUUGAUGAACUUGUAGAUGUUGUGAGUGAGAAGUAACACUAAUAUGCUCUUUAUUACUUCGCAAUCAUCUAAUACAUUUUUAUACCCUAAAAAUUAUUUUUAAAACCCCUUUUUUACAUGUCUUUGACUGAAAUGAAAAAUUUUUAUCUUAUAAAAAAUGAUAAAAACAACUCUUAGCAACGGAUAUCUUGGCUCUC